UUAUUUGGAUGCUGCUCAGCUG
rnacentral:siRNA from 1 species